AUUGAACGCUGGCGGCAUGCCUUACACAUGCAAGUCGAACGGCAGCAUGGAGAGCUUGCUCUCUGAUGGCGAGUGGCGAAUGGGUGAGUAAAGCAUCGGAACGUACCGUGUAGUGGGGGAUAACGUAGCGAAAGUUACGCUAAUACCGCAUACGCACUGAGGUGGAAAGCAGGGGAUCGCAAGACCUUGCGCUAUACGAGCGGCCGAUGUCAGAUUAGCUAGUUGGUAGGGUAAAGGCCUACCAAGGCGACGAUCUGUGGCGGGUCUGAGAGGAUGAUCCGCCACACUGGGACUGAGACACGGCCCAGACUCCUACGGGAGGCAGCAGUGGGGAAUUUUGGACAAUGGGGGCAACCCUGAUCCAGCCAUGCCGCGUGAGUGAAGAAGGCCUUCGGGUUGUAAAGCCCUUUCGGCCGGGAAGAAAUCGCACAGGCUAAUACUCUGUGUGGAUGACGGUACCGGCAUAAGAAGCACCGGCUAACUACGUGCCAGCCGCCGCAGUAA
rnacentral:rRNA from 1 species